AACUCUUUGGAUCUUAUCCCAAGAUCCAAGUGUUUUGUAUAUCUAUGAUAC
rnacentral:tRNA from 1 species